AUUGAACGCUGGCGGCAGGCUUAACACAUGCAAGUCGAGCGGGGUGAUGGUGCUUGCACUAUCACUUAGCGGCGGACGGGUGAGUAAUGCUUAGGAAUCUGCCUAUUAGUGGGGGACAACAUCUCGAAAGGGAUGCUAAUACCGCAUACGUCCUACGGGAGAAAGCAGGGGAUCACUUGUGACCUUGCGCUAAUAGAUGAGCCUAAGUCGGAUUAGCUAGUUGGUGGGGUAAAGGCCUGCCAAGGCGACGAUCUGUAGCGGGUCUGAGAGGAUGAUCCGCCACACUGGGACUGAGACACGGCCCAGACUCCUACGGGAGGCUGCAGUGGGGAAUAUUGGACAAUGGGGGGAACCCUGAUCCAGCCAUGCCGCGUGUGUGAAGAAGGCCUUAUGGUUGUAAAGCACUUUAAGCGAGGAGGAGGCUCUUCUGGUUAAUACCCAAGAUGAGUGGACGUUACUCGCAGAAUAAGCACCGGCUAACUCUGUGCCAGCCGCCGCGGUAA
rnacentral:rRNA from 1 species